AUGGAGGAAGGGGAGUUGAGCACACAAAAUGUAGCUCACCACCCUUCAAUUCCAUUAACACACACCUGUGCACACAUUCAUUCAUUUUUCAUGCCUGUUAAUUAUGUAUGUUGUAAAGCUCUAUGGAGUUUAAAUUAAUACAACUUUCAACAACGGAUCUCUUGGCUUUUGCAUCGAUGAAGAACGCCGCGAAAGUGCGAAACGUAAUGUGAAUUGCAGAAUUCAGUGAAUCAUUGAAUCUUUGAACGCAUCUUGCGCUCCUUGGUAUUCCGAGGAGCAUGCCUGUUUGAGUGUCAUGAAGUCUCUCUCAAUCCCCUUGUGGAUUGGAUUUGGAUGUUUGCUGUGUUUUAAUGGCUCAUCUUGAAAUAUAUUAGCUGUUUUCCGCCUUAGGACAAAAAAUGGUGUGAUAAGAAAUUGCUUGCAUCAUUGUUUGUAGGGUCAAGUGGGCAGCUUACAAAACCCCUCCAAACAUAUCUCAUUUUGACCUCAAAUCAGGUAGGGCUACCCGCUGAACUUAAGCAUAUCAAC
rnacentral:rRNA from 1 species